UACAGAGGUCUCAAGCGUUGUUCGGAUUUAUUGGGCGUAAAGGGUGCGUAGGCGGCGCGGUAAGUCGGGUGUGAAAUCUCGGGGCUUAACUUCGAAACUGCAUUCGAUACUGCCGUGCUUGAGGACUGGAGAGGAAACUGGAAUUUACGGUGUAGCGGUGAAAUGCGUAGAUAUCGUAAGGAAGACCAGUGGCGAAGGCGGGUCUCUGGACAGUUCCUGACGCUGAGGCACGAAGGUCAGGGGAGCAAACGGG
rnacentral:rRNA from 1 species